UGGCGUAAACAAAGGGAAGCGACCCCGCGAGGGGGAGCAAAUCUCAAAAAUAACGUCUCAGUUCGGAUUGUAGUCUGCAACUCGACUACAUGAAGCUGGAAUCGCUAGUAAUCGCGAAUCAGAAUGUCGCGGUGAAUACGUUCCCGGGUCUUGUACACACCGCCCGUCACACCAUGGGAGUCGGAUAUGCCCGAAGCCGGUGACCUAACCGCAAGGAAGGAGCCGUCGAAGGUGGAGCCGAUGACUGGGGUGAAGUCGUAACAAGGUAAC
rnacentral:rRNA from 1 species